UACAGGGGGUGCAAACGUUGCUCGGAAUUAUUGGGCGUAAAGCGCGCGUAGGCGGCCGCUUAAGUCGGAUGUGAAAGCCCCUGGCUCAACUGGGGAAGUGCACCCGAAACUGAGUGGCUUGAGUACUAAAGAGGGUCGCGGAAUUCCCGGUGUAGAGGUGAAAUUCGUAGAUAUCGGGAGGACCACCGCUGGCGAAUGCGGCGACCUGGGUCGCUCCUGACGCUGAGGAGCGGAAGCGUGGGGAGCGAACAGG
rnacentral:rRNA from 1 species